rfam:Schistosoma margrebowiei strain Zambia genome assembly, scaffold: SMRZ_contig0002399
AUCCAUCUGAUGAGUACUAGAUAGGGCGAAACACGCGUCUUGGAU